CACAACCUCAACCACAAGAUGCUACAGUCCAUGAAUAUAAGACGCGUUCAUAGGUUAAUCAAAAUCCUGUAAUGGAUUUCCAGAGCAUCACACAGAUUGAUGUUCCAAAGACAACAAUAGACUCCUCUUACAAACCUAAUACUAGUAUUCAAACUACAAAUACUAGCAAGUCCAACAGUUAUAUUCAACAGUUGAACCAAUCACCCUUAAACCUCAAAGGUUUCGCUGCAACAAGAGGAGAGGAGACAUUACUGCAAAUUAUUUUCUCAUGAAACUUGCACAUAAUUCCUAUAUUAGAACAUGAGUUAAAAUUCUAUACCACACAAAGUUUAAAUUAUACAAAACAGGGCCUAGUAAUUUUGAAGCAUAUGAUUCCUCAAAAAAUUAUGAACAAGCAAUAGGAUGGCAAAUUAAAUGAUCACAACUUCUGUUCAUGUGUAUAUUUAAUAUCGACAAACAAAAUGCACUGCUACAAAAUAUAAAAUUAGGCAUUCCUCAUAGAGAAGCAAACCUUUGAUUCUUGUCGCAAAAAAUGCCUCUCUCCUGCUGAGCUCCGACCAAUUUGAUAUCCCACAAGCUAUCUCAGGUCAACUGUCUUCAUCUUCCUAUGUUUCUCAAAAUUUAUCACAGAUUAUCAGUCUUGCUUUUCUCAUGUUCAUAACCUGAUGCUUUACCAGUCCUACCAAUCAAAUAUGGUUCUGGCAAGGAAUUGUCAUUGUGCAUGUCAAGACCUUGAUAAGAUCGAUUAGCAAAGUACUCAGCUCCUGAUUUUAUUGUUCUCUUGACAAGUGAAGCAGAAUUUGUGUCAUGUAAUUGCAGGGCUUUCUCCGUUGCAUUCACUAAAGCAAGAGCUCCAUCAUCUUCUUCAAUGCUCUCUUGCAAAUCAAAAUCUUCUACAUAUCUGCCUUGCAUGAAAGAAAACCUUGCUUCUUCAGAUGUGUCUUUUGCUUCCACUGGAGAUGAAUUAAUCAAAUCCCGAAAUUCCAUCACAUAUUCUCCUGACCAUUGUCUUCCUCUGCCAAAAGCUACCAUGGCUUCAAAUGGAGUGAUAACUGGAGCUAAGAACUCUUUACUAUCCAAGAGAGCAGUUUGAGCACAGGAAACAUAGAUGAAAACAUCACACUCAGGAAAGUUGGCAAGUUUUGCAGGGUUUGGUCUUCCCAUUACAAGAGUGUAAGCCUUUUUCCCUGCUGAAGUGAUUAGUUCUUUCAUCUGAUGAAUCAUGUCAAGGUAACCAGCUACACCAAGAGUUCCCACCAAAAUUCCAACAAUGUUAGCAUCUUUUGCCUUCUCCACCAGGUAAUAUCUACGCUUCAGAAUCCUUCUCUGUUGAGAUAGAUCUGUCACCAAGCGAUUUUCUAGUGCAUCAUAUCUGACUAUUUCACAGCCAUUAAAUGUCAGGACGACAUUUGCAAAUGCUGAAUUGCUAGAACCAACCCAUACAAGUAAAUAGUCCUCCAUCCUGUGUCCAUUAGGUAACUCCCAGAUCAAACCUCCAAUUCUAUAGCUAGAACCAGCUGCUGCCUCAACUUCUACACUAGCACUGUAGUCACCAACUGGUCUUGGAAGCCCAACAGGAUUUUUUUGAUCAUCAGAAGGAUUUAUUACAGAACAAACGACAUCAGCAAAAUGGAUGUCCUGAUGCUUGGGCCCAGAUUGCAUUGAUGAUAAUGUCACCAGCUCUUCUCUAACAUGUGGGAUUGCAUGCACAUAUUCCAGUCCAUAAAGGACCUAUAUUGAAAGAGAAAAUAAGGAAAAGUUACUAUGCACAGAUAUAUAGUUGAUAGGCAAUAAGCAAUGUUAAAAAGGUUUAAUUCAUUAAGAAACAUUGGGUAGUUACAGCAUAUAAAGGAAAAGGAAAACAAAGGACUAUGGAUACAAAAAUUUCAUCCAUACGUCACAACAUGAACAUUUAAAAAUAAUUACUCUGCAAAAUGAUGUAGGCUUGGAGAAUAUAAAAUCCUAUUAAGCUGGGGUUUUGUUUAACAUUUUAACACAAAGUUGGUAAGAUAUCAUGUCAAUUAAAUAUCCAAGAAAAAAAAUGAGGUUACUUAAAAUCUAUUCAGAAUCAGACAUGGAGAAAAUAAAUUAAUUUAACUAAAUAAAAAUAAAUUCUUUCAACCAUAGAAUAACAUCAGAGCAUCACAUAACAAAAGUAUCAGUACAGCUAUAUCAACUGUAAUUAACAGCUAUAUUAAAAUCUUACUAAGCUAAGGCAUGCUCAUCAAAUGGAGGUGUACACUAGCUUUACCGGAAGGUAAUGCAUUCCACCAACUACGUGCAACUAAUCUCUUUCAAGGGGGUGCCACUGCCACCACCAACUACGUGCGACUAAUCAUGUCUGCUUGUCCUUCAGAGUUCAGACGCUCCAGCCUCCAGUACAAUUGCAUUAUUCAAUGCACAAAAUAGACACUUAUAAUGGCAAAUGCUAAACUAACAUGUCCAAAUUUUUUAUUCAUAUUCAUUAUUACCACACCAUUAAAUCAGUCAAGAAGUGAAGAUAAAGAAUUUAUUUAUUAUACCACAAUAGGCUUGCUGCUGGUCGAGGCAUCAUCUGAUAAAAUUUUAGCACAACUGGAUAUGCUAAUGGAAGCCUUUCCAAAAACAAAGAAUGCCUGAAGGGUUGAUGUCCCUUUAAUCUCCUUCACUUCAAAACUAACUUAUCUAUUUGAUGAUCCAUGCUCUUGAACUCAAAAAUUUGCAGAGAAAUGAAUGAUUUUACUUGAGUUGGUUGUAGAGAAAAUUGAGUGAGUUAAGAGAAAAUGACUUGGUUGCCUAGAGAGAAAAUGAAAAGGGCUAAAAUGAACGAGCUAAUAUAGUUUUUUUUUUCCCAAAAAAAGGUUUUCUAUACUGCAUUUCACAUGAAAGAGAUUAAAAAAAGCUAAGAAUUCUUAGCGAGAAAAGUAAUAGCCAUCACGAUGUUACUUAACAGUCAAUAACAACCAUAACAGCCUUUACAAUUACAAUUUACAAAUUCAAAAAUCAUUAAAUAACAGUGAUAACGGUUACAUAACGGCCAUUAUUUAAACGCAUAUUUGAUACCAUAUGCAUGAGGAAUCAACAAUAUUGCCCAAGAAAAUGUAGGAAGUGCCAUAAUCCAAAAUAUAUGAUAACAAUUUACCAGAGAUGAAGAUGAUUUUGCUCUUAAGAAACAUUCAACACUGCUUCUAUUUUCCGACCCAGAACCUAACUCCUCAUCAGCGCACCUCAAAAAAUUCAUCUCCAAUUAAAUGCAUAUUACUCCAUCCAUCAUGUUCUGGUCUUUUUAGUGCAAACUUUUCCCUCCUUUUCUUCAAAUGCAUGUCUUAUUGCUAGAAACAAACUUUUCCCUCAAUGGUUUUAUCGCUAGCAUAUUAAAAAAAAAAUCUGGAAUGGAGAAUUAUGGUAAAUAGAGUGUGAAAAUUGUUCUACACAAUGUCAUAUCAUGUCAAGCCUUUUCGUCAGUGUAGUUUUUCCCUGUGUGGGACAAGAGAGAAGGAAGUUGGGGAGGAAAACAUUUAUGGCAUAAAACAUCCCCUCCCAAUCCUAGCUGAAAAAGAGAACUGAACAGUAGAUGUCCACUGAAAACUCAAAAUAUACCAUUGACCAUGAUAAAAAGUAUAAAACAGUAGAUCAGUCAGGAAAUUAAGUAGAAUUUAACAUAAAAUUUCGAAAGCCUUGCUAUGUACCAUGUUAAAAUACAUUACAAGUAUGGCAUUAGCAGAGGCACUAAUUAAUCAUUCCCCAAAUAGUUUUGACAAAAUUUGCCAAUGUGACGUAUCAUUGUUCUAGGAACCUUCAGGCACCAGCAAUCUUCAUACAUGUACAAGCAUGGGAAUGGGCCUAAAAUCCAUUACUGUCACAGCUUUUAAAUGUCAGAGACAAAUGUAAAGGAUCGAAUUUCACCCUCAAAUUCUAAGGUACACGCGGCACAUGCAUAAAACUAAUAGUGUUUGAUUAAGCAAUGAAUAAUAAAGGUAAAGGCAAGUAAUCAAUUGUUUUAUGCCUCACGUAUGUUUAAUGAAUUAAACAUGAAAAGUAAGACAGAAUCCCCACGCGUUAUCAAUUUCAAGCCAUCAUUUUUGCAUGCUAUCCAGGUUAUGUUACAGAUAGUUCAACCGGUUUUACAGCAACAUGAGUGAGAGAGGAAGCGAGGGAUGGAAGGCGAGACAAAGCCAUAGGUGAGGACAAGAAUCUGACCUUAAUUUUUCCAAUGGUACACA
rnacentral:misc_RNA from 1 species